rnacentral:rRNA from 1 species
GAUGAACGCUGGCGGCGUGCCUAAUACAUGCAAGUCGAGCGAACAGACGAGGAGCUUGCUCCUCUGACGUUAGCGGCGGACGGGUGAGUAACACGUGGAUAACCUACCUAUAAGACUGGGAUAACUUCGGGAAACCGGAGCUAAUACCGGAUAAUAUAUUGAACCGCAUGGUUCAAUAGUGAAAGACGGUUUUGCUGUCACUUAUAGAUGGAUCCGCGCCGCAUUAGCUAGUUGGUAAGGUAACGGCUUACCAAGGCAACGAUGCGUAGCCGACCUGAGAGGGUGAUCGGCCACACUGGAGCUGAGCCACGGACCAGACUCCUAAGGGAGGCAGCAGUAGGGAAUCUGCCGCAGUGGGCGAAAGCUUGACGGAGCAACGGCGCGUGAGUGAUGAAGGUCUUCGGAUCGUAAAACUCUGUUAUUAGGGAAGAACAAAUGUGUAAGUAACUAUGCACGUCUUGACGGUACCUAAUCAGAAAGCCACGGCUAACUACGUG